rnacentral:rRNA from 1 species
GGGGUGAUGGCCUACCAAGGCGACGACGGGUAGCCGGCCUGAGAGGGUGUCCGGCCACACUGGGACUGAGAUACGGCCCAGACUCCUACGGGAGGCAGCAGUGGGGAAUAUUGCACAAUGGGCGCAAGCCUGAUGCAGCGACGCCGCGUGAGGGAUGACGGCCUUCGGGUUGUAAACCUCUUUCAGUAGGGACGAAGCGCAAGUGACGGUACCUAUAGAAGAAGCACCGGCCAACUACGUGCCAGCAGCCGCGGUAAUACGUAGGGUGCGAGCGUUGUCCGGAAUUACUGGGCGUAAAGAGCUCGUAGGUGGUUUGUCGCGUUGUUCGUGAAAACUCACAGCUCAACUGUGGGCGUGCGGGCGAUACGGGCAGACUGGAGUACUGCAGGGGAGACUGGAAUUCCUGGUGUAGCGGUGGAAUGCGCAGAUAUCAGGAGGAACACCGGUGGCGAAGGCGGGUCUCUGGGCAGUAACUGACGCUGAGGAGCGAAAGCGUGGGGAGCGAACAGGAUUAGAUACCCUGGUAGUCCACGCCGUAAACGGUGGGUACUAGGUGUGGGUUUCCUUCCUUGGGAUCCGUGCCGUAGCUAACGCAUUAAGUACCCCGCCUGGGGAGUACGGCCGCAAGGCUAAAACUCAAAGGAAUUGACG